GCAUUCAUUACUGCAUUUAAUUCUUAGCCUCCAAUCAUAUCUUCCUCUCACACAGAUGGAUAUCAUCCUUCGGUUGGAAGAUACACAUCCCACUUGCCAUCUUUUUCUGUACAUGUACAUUUAUACAAAUCAUUUUCCUAUCUUUCUCUACAAGUAAGAAAAUCCAAGACCUAUUCUUUUCAAGUUCAAUUCAGGAAACAAAUAUCAAGUCCAAAGAAUUACUCCUUUUGCACCCCAAAUUCAGAUCGACAGCAGGUUAUCUCCGCAAGUAAGGUCGGAGUAAGAAAUUCAAGUUAAAGGAACUAAACGAACCAGGUUGAGUAGCGAAGUGGUGGAGGAAGUGCUAUUGAAACAGGACAUUUAA